rnacentral:rRNA from 1 species
AGUCGAACGGCAGCACGGACUGGUCCAGACAGAGUGGCGAACGGGUGAGUAAUUGUAUCGAACGUGCCUAGUAGCGGGGGAUAACCACGCGAGCGUAGCUAAUACCGCAUACGCCCUUCGGGGGAAAGCGGGGACCUUUCACUUCCACUAUUAGAGCGGCCGAUAUUUCCGGAUUAGCUAGUUGGUGGGGUAACGGCUCAACAAGGCGACGAUCCAGCUGGUCGAGAGGACGACCGCCACACUGGGGAUUGAGACACGGCCCAGAGACUCCUACGGAGGCAGCAGUGGGGAAUUUUGGACAAUGGGAACCCCUGACCCAGCCAUCCGCGGCGUGUGCGAUGAAGGCCUUCAAGCCAAAAAAGCACUUUGGCAGGAAAGAAACGGCACGGGAUAUCACCCCGUGCAACUGACGGUACCUGCAGAAUAAGCACCGGCUAAUCACAGCCAGGAAGCCGCGGUAAUACGUGGCAAGCGUUAAUCGGAAUUACUGGGCGUAAAGCGUGCGCAGGCGGUUCGGGCAUGAAAGAUGUGAAAUCCUGUGGAGCUUAACUUUGGAACUGCAUUUUUAACUACCGAGCUAGAGGUCAGAGGGAGGUGGAAUUCCGCGUGUAGCAGGAAGGUAGAUAUGCGGAGGAACACCCAUGGCGGCGGAAGCCCUGGGAUAACACUGACGCUCAUGCACGAAAGCGUGGGGAGCAAACAAGAUUAGACACCCUGGUAGUCCACGCCCUAAACGAUGUCAACCAGCUGUUAGCCUCGGGCCUUGGUAGCGCAGCGCCAACGCGUGAAGUUGACCGCCUGGGGAGUACGGUCGCAAGAUUAAAACUCAAAGGAAUUGACGGGGACCCGCACAAGCGGUGGAUGAUGUGAUUAAAUUCGAUGCAACGCGAAAACCUUACCUACCCUUGACAUGUCUGGAAUCCCGAAGAGAUUUGGGAUGCCUGCAAGAGAACCGGAACACAGGUGCUGCAUAUUGUCGUCAGUCAAAUGUGAGGAUGUUGGGUUAAGUCCCGCAACGAGCGCAACCCUUGUCAUUAGUUGUCACGAAAGGGCACUUAAUGAGACUGCCGGUGACAAACCGGAGGAAGGUGGGGAUGACGUCAAGUCCUCAUGGCCCUUAACGGGUAGGGUCAACACGUCAUACAAUGGUCGGGACAGAGGGUCGCCAACCCGCGAGGGGGAGCCAAUCCCAGAAACCCGAUCGUAGUCCGAUCGCAGUCUGCAACUGACUGCGUGAAGUCGAAUCGCUAGUAAUCGCGGAUCAGCAUGUCGCGGUGAAUACGUUCCCGGGUCUUGUACACACCGCCCGUCACACCAUGGGGAGUGGAGGGACAGAAGUAGUUAGCUCAACCGUAAGGAGGCGAUUACCACGGUAGAUUCAUGACUGGGUGAAGUCGUAAUGCUGU